GCCAAUGCGCCCGAGUUCACCGCAGAAUCAAUUAAAGCAGCAGUUUUGAGAAAAAUUUCUAAUAAGGGUGCCGCAAAAUUGUCCAGACAAUACUUCAAGUCAAGCAAAAGAUCAUUGGUUUUAUAUUGAUACCGAAACUUUUUAAAUAUAGAGUUUGCAGUGCCAAGAAUACCGUUAACAGAUGCAUAAUCCGAAGCCUGA
rnacentral:misc_RNA from 1 species